UGGGGAAUAUUGCACAAUGGGCGCAAGCCUGAUGCAGCCAUGCCGCGUGUAUGAAGAAGGCCUUCGGGUUGUAAAGUACUUUCAGCGGGGAGGAAGGGAGUAAAGUUAAUACCUUUGCUCAUUGACGUUACCCGCAGAAGAAGCACCGGCUAACUCCGUGCCAGCAGCCGCGGUAAUACGGAGGGUGCAAGCGUUAAUCGGAAUUACUGGGCGUAAAUCGCACGCAGGCGGUCUGUCAAGUCGGAUGUGAAAUCCCCGGGCUCAACCUGGGAACUGCAAUCGAAACUGGCAGGCUGGAGUAUUGUAGAGGGGGGUAGAAUUCCAGGUGUAGCAGUGAAAUGCAUAGAGAUCUGGAGGAAUACCGGUGGCGAAGGCGGCCCCCUGGACAAAGACUGACGAUACGGUGCGAAGGAGUGGGGAGCAAACAGG
rnacentral:rRNA from 1 species